AGAGUGUAUGUCCCCGUAGGAUGACACGUAUUUCCGUUUUGAAUGGCACCGGCGCCUCGCUUCCCCGAUCCUGUUGGUCAAAGUCAGACAACACAGUGCAAAAGACCUUAGCUCUAGUUCUUCGUCUUGUUUCUCUCUUUAGUUUUGAAAGGUCAGCUUUGACUGUAAAAGCUUUCUACACACGAAACAUAAGUGUGGAAGAAGAAGAAUGACCUGACAGAGGAGUUGAUGGAAAGGAAGUCGUGAACUUUGCGGCAGCGAAUAGAGUUCUUUCCAAUUCUCUAAAUUUCCUCCAAGACGGUGACGGCCUCCUUGUUUUCAACAAAACCUUUUAUGGAUGAAUCUGGGUUUUGAUCAUUAAUGUUCUGUCGAAGUGGGUUUUAGAAGCCCAAUCCCUAGUUGAUCACGACCACAUAUGUCAACCAAGAUGACCAGUGGGUUGACUACUAAGCUCCGGCUAGUUAGAUGCCCUAAAUGUCGGCAGCUUCUUCCCGAGUUACCGGACCAUCCUGUGUACAAGUGUGGUGGAUGCGGUACAAUUCUCCAAGCAAAGAAUCAAACAAAUGAUGUGAAGAGCACAAAAUCUGGCUUAAAUGAAAUGGAUAAUCCUCAGACAAAUGCAUUGGAUCUUGUUACUGAAGAUAAAGAAUCUGGCAGCUCUAUGCAUACAGAUACUGUUCCUUCCACUGGAGGAUGUUCUUUGGACCAAAACAAUGUGGGAGAUCCAAGACAAUCAGGGUAUUGCUGCAGUGAGCAUCUUGAAGGUAUAAAUUUGUUGAAUGAAGGUCAGAACAAGGAGCGGGAUCGAUGCCAGUCAAGGGAUUGCAAUGGUGAGCUGCUUGGAGGUAUAAUACACUUAUCAAACAAUGACCAAAGCAAUGAAGAUGAUGCAAUUGAAUCUUGUGACAGCAAUAUCAAACAACCCGAGGAUUCCAUUGGAGAGUGUUUGGCAACUGACCUUAUACCUCCUGAGAAUGAAGAGUCAUUACCAAUAGUAGGAUCAAAUUUAGAGGUAAAGGCAUAUGAUGAUGGCUUACUGUUGGCAGGAGCAAACUCAGAAGUGGAUAUUAAUGAAGGUGAUUCUAAUAUCAAAAUUUCAAAUACCGACAAUAACGUGGCUACAAUGGGAAGUACUUCAAUUGUUACUCACCAUAUGGCAGCUAGGGAAAGCAUUUCAUCAGAUACUCCUACAUCUUCUCCUAACGAACAGCUUGAGCAACCUCAGAAAAAUGUUCAUGUGUUUGACCAUGUAAGGUCCACAGAUACGAUAGAAACCACAGAGUUUGCCAACCCCAGCUCUGAGCUCAGUGGUAGACUUAUAGAUAUCUCUAAAUCGCCAACCAGAAGUUAUUACGCAUAUGAGGGAAGUGUCUCCUCUUAUGAUGGUACAGAUGAUCAAUUCCCUGAACGACCUAGACAUUUAUCUAGAAGUACUUGUAAGGUUGCAAACUUUGUUCCUUCUGAAGAAAGGAACAGAAAGGACAACUUUCUGGUGGACAGCUUGAUGAAUUGCCAUCCUUAUCUUAAAGAAGAUGGAAUUCUUUCAUCCACUAAGAAGCAUUCAGCCAAUAGAUGUGGCAAGUGGGAUCAAGAUGAAUUGCUGGAACCCAAAUCGCAUGGCCGCCCAGUCAGAAACUGGAGGAGACGUGACAGAGAAAAUUAUCCAUCCAGGGUACCUUUCUAUGGAAGGGGUUCCCUUGCUGGCUAUGAGAUUGGUGGCCCCUCAAAUCAAGUGCAUUAUCAGUUUCAUCGCAAUAGUAGCUUUCAAUCAUCAGACAAGUCUGAUUACCUUGAACAGGACAAGUUGAAAUUAUUGAGAAUCGUUUCUGAAUUGCAGGAUGAACUUAACAGAAGAUGCUAUCUAAAUGGAAAAGCUGAUGGAAGGGUUAACACUUGGAAGGAAAAUCAUAUGUCAACUUACAAUGAUCAUGAGGCACCCGAGGGGGAUCUCUAUAAUGAGUUAAAUUAUCCUAGGUUUCCCAGAAGAGGUAAGUCUGGAAGCAACUGGCUUGAGCAGCGCAAUUUCUCAUGUGUACGUUUCUCAGGAGAGGCAACAAGCAGUAGACAUGGAGUUCAUCACUCUUGUCUUCAUUGCCAUCCCCAAGACUGGCAAUGCUCAGUACAGUUGCCACCUCAAUCCAUUUUUGGAAAUAAUCAAGAGUUAUGUGGGCUCCAUCCUGGUCGCAAAUUUUGCAAUCCUUCCUACCGCUCUUGUCCUUCAAGUCCCCACCAGUAUGCAGACCCUGAGUUUCCCAUGUGCAGUCGUGAUGCGAAGUCUGAAGAACAGAGGCAUAGAGACCGUGAGGUGAAGAAACAUCAUUCGGCUAAACAACAUUUCCGACCCAUUGCAGGUGGAGCCCCUAUCAUAUCUUGCUAUAAUUGCUUGAGCCCUCUGCAGAUACCUGCAGAUUUUCUUCUCUUUAGAAAGAGAUUUCAUUGGCUAAGGUGUGGUGCUUGUUCAGAGCUGCUCAAAUUUUCACUUCAAAACAGAACUCAUUUGGUACCACAUGCACUGAAUGCUUUUUGUGUCCCUCCACCAAGUGAGGUUGGCGACUAUAGUGAUGAUAGUAAUAGGAGAUUGGUUUCAGCAUCUCACACCAAUGCUUCUCCGUAUGCUGAUCCGGUGUCAUGCUCAGAUGAUUAUGGACUCUCAUACUGUAAAAGCUGCUCCACUGAAGGAGAUCAUGUUCCCUUCACGUCCUCUCAUGCCCUCCCAGGAAUUUCAGAUCAAAGAAACAUGUUAUCUGAUCCUUCCAAACCUGUGCAUGAAAGGAAGGAGUCUAUUGGGAAACGGUCACAAAACAAGCAUAAGAAUUCAGUGGAAACGUUUGAAUCAGCUGGGCUUUCCUCCAACAUGUCCAAAGCAGAGAAAUUAUCCUCUGAAAUUGAGCCAAGAUCAAGCUCACCCCUUCAUCGUCUCAUGGGUUAUUCCUCACCCAGCGAGGUCAUAACUGGCUCAAGGCCGUCUGGUAUGGAGUAAGCCUAUAGUCUCCAACGAAAACAAUGCAUGAGGUCAAGGAAAUGAGGGAUAUUGUUUAGUAUUUGGUGAUCUGGCCAUGAGUUAAGCCCUAUAGAAGGGCGAUAUGCUGAGAAUGUGUGGUAGGAGUGGGGAAUUCGCCAGAAGCAAUAUGCUGUAUCCAUUGCCUGGAGGCUGAAGCAUUGAGCAUUCUGAGAAACGAACAACAUUAGUUGAUUUCUAUACUACGUGUUUGGUUCUGGUUAAAACAAGAUUCACGUCUUCGCUCUGGAUUAUACUGUAGAAGUAGACACGAAAGGCUUUGAUUGUUGUAUAUGUAGAUAUUCACCCAGAUUUCUAUCUAAAUUUGUAUAUUUGUGGGGUAGGCUAAGAUUGAUCGUGUGUAAUGAAUUUUCAAACUUAUUAUAUGUAUUUGAUAUUAGAGAUAAUUGAAUCGAGAUAA